GCCGAAGUGGUGGAAUGGCAGACACGCCAGCCUCAGGAGCUGUGCUCGCAAGGGCGUCCGGGUUCAACUCCCGGCUUCGGCACCA
rnacentral:tRNA from 1 species